UAAGGUCUAGGUUUAUGUAGGGUUUAGGGUUAGGUAGGAUUUAGGGUUUUAGGCAGUAGAAAAGGUUUAGCGUUUGGUUUAGAUUGGGUUUAAGGUUUGGUUUAGAAUAAUGCUUAGGAUUAUAGGGUUUAGGGUUUGUUUGUUUUUUUGUUUAUGCAUUUAGUGUUGAGUUUUUGGGAUAAAAUUUUAUAUUAAUAUUAUUGAUU
rnacentral:lncRNA from 1 species